rnacentral:rRNA from 1 species
CCUACGGGCGGCAGCAGUGAGGAAUAUUGGUCAAUGGGCGCGAGCCUGAACCAGCCAAGUCGCGUGAGGGAAGACGGUCCUAUGGAUUGUAAACCUCUUUUGUCGGGGAGCAAUAGACGCCACGCGUGGCGUUCUGAGAGUACCCGAAGAAAAAGCAUUGGCUAACUUCGGGCCAGCCGCCGCGGUAAUACGGAGGAUGCGAACGUUAUCCGGAUUUAUUGGGUUUAAAGGGUGCGCAGGCGGAAGAGCAAGUCAGCGGUAAAAUUGAGAGGCUCAACCUCUUCGAGCCGUUGAAACUGGUUUUCUUGAGUGAGCGAGAAGUAUGCGGAAUGCAUGGUGUAGCGGUGAAAUGCAUAGAUAUCACGCAGAACUCCGAUUGCGAAGGCAGCAUACCGGCGCUCAACUGACGCUCAUGCACGAAAGUGUGGGUAUCGAACAGGAUUAGAUACCCUUGUAGUC